GCUUAACACAUGCAAGUCGAGCGAGAACCGGACCUUCGGGUCCGGGGACAGCGGCGAACGGGUGAGUAACACGUGGGUAAUUUGCCCUCGAUUUCGGGAUAGCCCGGGGAAACCCGGAUUAAUACCGGAUAGCCUUUCGAGCUCUCGGGCUUGAAAGGAAAGGUAGCUUCGGCCUCCGAUAGAGGAGAAGCCCGCGGCGGAUUAGCUUGUUGGCGGGGUAAUGGCCCACCAAGGCGACGAUCCGUAGCUGGUCUGAGAGGACGAUCAGCCACACUGGGACUGAGACACGGCCCAGACUCCUACGGGAGGCAGCAGUGGGGAAUCUUGCGCAAUGCGCGAAAGCGUGACGCAGCAACGCCGCGUGGGGGAAGAAGGCCUUCGGGUUGUAAACCCCUUUCAGGAGGGACGAAGGUCGGGCGGUGAAUAGCCGACCCGACUGACGGUACCUCCAGAAGAAGCCCCGGCUAACUACGUGCCAGCAGCCGCGGUAAUNC
rnacentral:rRNA from 1 species